rnacentral:lncRNA from 1 species
UUUUUUUGGUCCUGGUUUAGAGAAAAGAACUAUACUUGCUUGAAAUAUCCAAAUGCAUUGUUUAAACAAGGCUAGAUGCAGCUUAUAUAAGGUACUGUGGAUAAUGAAAUAAGAGCUUCUCCCCCACCCCAAUUACUUGAUUUGUGAUCACAUAAUGGUUGUCUUUCUUUUUAUUGGAGCUGUUUUGGAAAUUACCUUUCUAUCCAUGAUCUGUGUGUACCAGGUGGAAAGAUCUUCAAAAAUACAUAUAACCCGGAGCGAAGAAAACCUGAAAAUUUGCCCUAGGAUGAAUAGGGAAAUGGGAUGGAGUUGAACAUUCUCUGCCCACCUCUGCAGAGGGGAUUUGGUCUUUCCUCGAGUGGAUGACAGAUGAGGUUGGUAACCUGGAGGAACCUUAUCCUGGUUUCAUGUGGGAUUGUUCAAGCUAUAAUUAUUUGAAGGUUUCUGUGUGGCUGGAGGAUCCAAGUCAUUCUCACUCAGAUAUGGGGCAGUUGAUGCUGGAUGUUGGCUCAUUCUCUUCCGUUCUCCACCUGAUCACUCAUCCUCUGGUAAGUUGGACUGUGUUUCUUCAUAAUAUUGAGGUGGUAGGGUUACAAGAAGAUGAGAAUGGAAGCUGUAGGAAUAGGUUAUUUUGGGGGAGAGGUAAGAAGAGGCUAGGGCAAAGUGUCAGCUAAAAGGAAUUCUGAUCUUAUCUGAAAAGUUUCAGUACUUUAAUGUGCUGUCAUAAUUUACCUGUGUAAUUUAAAAAUAUAUAAAAUAUUGCUAGAGACUGAAUGUUUG